UCCCUUGUGGCUUAGCUGGUAAAGAAUCCACCUGCAAUGUGGGAGACCUGGGUUUGAUCCCUAGGUUGGGAA
rnacentral:tRNA from 1 species